CACGUAGGGGGCAAGCGUUGUCCGGAUUUAUUGGGCGUAAAGAGCUCGUAGGCGGUUCGGUAAGUCGGGUGUGAAAACUCUGGGCUCAACCUGGAGACGCCACCCGAUACUGCUAUAGCUUGAGUCCGGUAGGGGAGCGUGGAAUUCCUGGUGUAGCGGUGAAAUGCGCAGAUAUCAGGAGGAACACCAGCGGCGAAGGCGGCGCUCUGGGCCGGUACUGACACUGAGGAGCGAAAGCGUGGGGAGCAAACAGG
rnacentral:rRNA from 1 species